CAGAUGCUGAUCCCAUAGUUGGUGUGGUUUACCUAGAUUUCAGCAAAAUAUUUUAGGAAGUCUCUCAUGCUAUUAUUAUUCUUGUGAACAAGAUAGAUAAAAGCGUGCUAGAGGAUAUUAUAGUUAGUUGGAUUCUGAAUGGUUGAAUUGCUGCAAACAAGGAGUAGUUGUAUUAUUAUUCACUUGAAAAGAGGUAUCUAGUAGAGGGCCUUAGGGAUCUCUCAUUGACCCUGAACUGUUUAGUAAUGACCUAGAUAAAGAUAUAGAUGGCUUCUUUAUUGAAUUUUCAGACAAUGCUAAGCCAGUCCUGACUUAUCUGACUGAUAGGAGACAAAAAGAUUUUGACAGGAUAGAUUGUUACCUGAGUCUAUCAUGAUGAAAGGUAAUGGGAGUAAGAGUAAAAUUUUAUACUUGGAUUCAAAAGUUUCAACAUGGCAACCAUUAUGAUUAUUAUGGUUACAUUAUUAGAGGCAGAGUGUCUUGGACAAGGGAGACUAUAGUCUUGCUCUAUAAUCUAUCCUAAGAGACCACAUCUGGAGUAUUGCAUUCAGUUCUAGAUAAACUGGCAGAUGUCCCAAGGAGAGUGGUCAGGAUGGUGAAUGGGUUCCAAUUCAUACCCUAUAAAGAUCAGUUGUAGAAACUGGGACUAUUUAGUCUGGAGCAAGAUGAUUGACAAGGUACAUGAUAGCUGUCUUCAAGCAUUUAAAGGAUUCUCAUGGCUAGGAAGAAAAUAUAUAUGGAGAGAGGAAGUGAUCCUUCAUUUAUCAUCACUGUCAGAAGGAGAUGCCCAAGCUUUUUGACUUUUCUGGUCUUUUUCCACUUGACUGGCAUUUUUCUUCCAUCAUGGAAACCAAUGGCAAACUAAUUCUUCUUUGCUUCAGUAUUCUUCAAAAAAAAAAAAAAGAAAACUCUUGCCUUCCAUUUUAGAAUCAAGUAUAUUGGUUCCAAGGCAGAAGAGUGGUAAGGGCUAGGAAAUGGGAGUUAAGUGACCUGCCCAGGGUCACACAGAUAGGAAGUGUCUGAGGCAGAUUUCAACCCAUCUCUAGGUAUUAAUCUCAAUCCACCAAACCACAGAGUUGCCCCUUGCUUCACUAUUCUUGAGGGUCAAAUAACUCCUAAGAUCCUUUGCUUUCAAUUAUUUUGAUACUAUUGUUAUUGUUGUCUUAGUGGAAAGACCACUGAAGCUAAAAUCAGAAAAGCUGUCUUUCUAGUCUUGACUUUAGCGCAAUG
rnacentral:lncRNA from 1 species